UACGGAGGGAGCUAGCGUUGUUCGGAAUUACUGGGCGUAAAGCGCACGUAGGCGGCUUUUUAAGUCAGGGGUGAAAUCCCGGGGCUCAACCCGGAACUGCCCUUGAAACUGGAGAGCUAGAAUCUUGGAGAGGCGAGUGGAAUUCCGAGUGUGAGAGGUGAAAUUCGUAGAUAUUCGGAAGAACACCAGUGGCGAAGGCGACUCGCUGGACAAGUAUUGACGCUGAGGUGCGAAAGCGUGGGAG
rnacentral:rRNA from 1 species